rnacentral:rRNA from 1 species
AACGCUGGCGGCACGCUUAGCACAUGCAAGUCGAACGAGAUCUUCGGAUCUAGUGGCAGACGGGUGAGUAACGCGUGGGAACCUGCCCUUUAGUAGAGAAUAACUCGGGGAAACUCGAGCUAAUACUCUAUACGCCCUUCGGGGGAAAGCUUUAUGCGCUAAUGGAUGGGCCCGCGUUAGAUUAGUUUGUUGGUGAGGUAACGGCUCACCAAGGCUACGAUCUAUAGCUGGUCUGAGAGGAUGAUCAGCCACACUGGGACUGAGACACGGCCCAGACUCCUACGGGAGGCAGCAGUGGGGAAUA